GUCUUCACUUUGGUGCCACGUAUAGUAAAAUUGGAACGAUACAAGGAAGGUUAGCAUGGUCCCCUGCAUUAAGAUGACAAGUGAGUUUCGUAAGUGUUCGAUACAAAA